rnacentral:lncRNA from 1 species
GUGGGGGCUUGUAGUCCGUAAUGGUCUGUAUCCCCUGCCUCAGGCUCCGAGUGUCUUGAGUAUUUAUUGAUUUUGAUUUACGUUUUGGGUGUGGUGUUCUCUGGAUGCUCGAGUGCUAGAGUCGCAACAAAGUGUUUAUAAGUUUCUUUUUUUUUUUCAUGUUUUCAUUUCUAUAAUUUUGUUGAAUUUCUUCUUUAAUGUUAUUUUCUGUUUCUCCAGGGCCAGUGAGGAUCGGGUGGAACUGGGGAGGCUAGCUGCUGUCAUUCUGCAGUGUCACAGUGUGCGGUGUGUGUGGAUACAACUUCCCAUUGGUGUGUGUGAUGGUUGCUUUGGUGUGAAUUUAGGUGGGUUUUUGGAUAACCAUUCUGAGUUGCAGCCGGCCUGCCUGGUUCCCACUAAUCCUGGCCCUGGGAAUUACCUCCCUUAUUGUGGAAAUGGUUUGUGUGAGAGAGUUUUAAAUCUAUGCGUGUGUUUUAUAAUAAAAUCCAAUCUUUUGUAUUCUCGCCCCCGUCUCCCCUACUUUGCCUUCAUUUGGUGAAACUUACCUGUGUCCUUUAAUGGGAAUAAAUUCUCUGGUUUCCCACCAGGGUGGCGUAGUCGGAUAAAUUCACUGAUUAACCUUUCCUUUCAUGUGAUACCGCCACAGUCAUAAAUAAUUGAGGUUGAACAAUAUUUAUAACAAAUCAUCAAAAAAAUAUAUUGGGCUUGUUUUUAAAGCUGCAGUUGCUUAUUUGUCUCGUGAGAGUUUGCAACAAUGUUUGUGCGCCUUUACUCUAGAGUUUACUCUACAUCAAAUACAGGUGCACUGCGCAUCCAUUGAGCUGAACUGAAAUGGUACAGAUCGCUUGACAGAGAGUAAAACUCUAAAGCGCUC